CAUUCCGUUGCACUCCCGUUUGACUCUGGGUAUGAAAGCCAUCAAAUCAGGAGUUAGCCAGGAUGGACCCAAUUUGCACACCAAAUGUUUUUGGCGUGUUGGAGUACUCCCACCUCAACAUCGGGCCAUUGUAUGGACUGCUUGUGCAAUUAAAGGAAUGUGCGAAUGGUGUUGGAAGCACCUUCUGUGUCAUCUGUCUUUCUCAGUGUUGCAGGUGAAGUUGUAGGACCCAAUCCAUCUCUCACCAGAUUGUAUCCUCACCCCAUCUGACUGUAUUGCUUCUUACACUGUAUGUCCCAGGAUGAAAUCCUAAGAUGAUGGAGGAGGGUCCCCUCAUGAUGUAAAGUACCUGCUCAGAUAGGAAUCUAAUUUGAGGUAAAUUCCAGGGGUCCAGUGGACAGGAUUGCUAGUGUCUCUCUCUGAGAUGGCUGCAGGACAAUAAAAUACAGGAAGAUGUCUGUUUUUUGGUGGGGUGUGUUCCUCUUCUUUCUAGAAGAGUGGCUUUUCUUUUGCAGGGGGAGUUGAUUUGGAUGCCGGCAGGUCUUGGCAUGCCUCCCAAUUCACAGUGGAUUC
rnacentral:lncRNA from 1 species